UCAAUUUAAUAUUAUCAACCCAUCAUUAGUAUUGAAUAAAUUCAUAAAUUAUGAAAAAUAUUAUGCUAGAACUAGUAACAAGAAAGUGAAUUUCUCCAAAAUGUAAACAUAAACCAAAAUGGACAACCCAUUGGUGAUUAACGACUUUGUACUUAUUAUAGUAAAACAACUAGAAAACUCUAUAUUUUAUGCCGUUAACCUUACACAAGAACUCUUCUGGAAAGAUUAAAAGGAAAAGAAGGAACUCGGCAAAUUUUAACCCCGCCUGUUUACCAAAAACAUCGCCUUUUGCACAAAUAUAAAAGGUCCAGCCUGCCCAGUGUUUUUAAUCAACGGCCGCGUGAUUUAAGCGCGCUAAGGUAGCGUAAUAAUUUGUUCUUUAAAUAAGGACUUGUAUCAAUGGCAUCACGAGGGUUAUACUGUCUCCUCUCCCCAAUCAGUGAAACUAAUCUCCCUGUGAAAAAGCAGGGGUAAGACUAUAAGACGAGAAGACCCCAUGGAGCUUAAAAUACAGCAGCAACUAUAAUAAUAAUAUCAAUACAAUUUUUAGCCAUGUAUGCCAAUUUUAGGUUGGGGUGACCAUGGAGCAAAACAAAGCCUCCACGACGAAAAGAGUAUACACCCUUAUCCAAGAGAUACCCCUCUAAGAAUUAUUAAAAUAACGUCCAAUGAUCCGACUAUCGACCAACGGACCAAGUUACCCUGGGGAUAACAGCGCAAUCCACUCUGAAAGCUCCUAUCGACGAGUGGGCUUACGACCUCGAUGUUGGAUCAGGAUAUCCCAGUGGUGCAGCCGCUACUAAA
rnacentral:rRNA from 1 species